rnacentral:rRNA from 1 species
AUACGGAGGGUGCAAGCGUUACUCGGAAUCACUGGGCGUAAAGCGCGCGCAGGCGGUCUUUUAAGUUGGAUGUGAAAGCCUACGGCUCAACCGUAGAACUGCAUCCAAAACUAUUUAGCUAGAGUGUGGGAGAGGAAGAUGGAAUUAGUUGUGUAGGGGUAAAAUCCGUAGAGAUAACUAGGAAUACUAAAAGCGAAGGCAAUCUUCUGGAACACUACUGACGCUGAGGCGCGAAAGCGUGGGGAGCAAACAGGAUUAGAAACCCUAGUAGUCC